CUUUUUUUUUUUUUUGUAUUUUGUGUGUAUUUAUGUGUGUGUGUGUGUGGUAUGGUCUUCCAAUUCUUCAAACAUACGGUUUCUCUUCAUGUGAAUAAACUAUACCAAUUGUGGGUAUGAGUUUAACAUAUAUGUUAUGUUUAUACUUUAUCAUUUUUUAAUAUAUGAUUCAAUUCAAAAGUCUUUAAAAGAAAAAAAUACUGUUUGGCUACUUUAAAUUUCUGGAUGUUGCGGAAUAGUUUGAGUUUUCCAUUUUAUCUUAUGUAGUAGACUAAUUUAUGCUUUUCAAGGAAGAGAAGUUGUGAGCUGUCAUGCCGUUGGUGUAAUUCAAUUAAAUGUUUAACAAGUACUGUUAUUGGCUUUCUUUUGUAUAUAAUUGCUCUCUUUUCUCCUUCAGUGCAAAACUGGGCAUUCGUGCAGCUGUCAUGGCUCUAUUCCCUGUGAGAACUCCAAUUCAAUCUAUUCCUGAUUGGAUCAUGCGUGUAAUUAUUAUGUUUCUGAAGCAAACAAAGAGGGAACAUUCAAAAAUGAAAAGAAGUUUCUUGACAUCAAAGCGAAGGGGACAUUAUCUAGGAGCAGCAUGCUGGUAUAGCGAGUUGAGUGUUGGCUUGCAUUCAUGUAUUAGUCAUUAACCUACUCAGGCAAUGUAAUUUCCUUCGCUUCUGCAGCUGUUUGGGUAUGAAAUAUGUCAAAUACUGAACAAGUUGAUUGUCACUCCAUAUGCCCUGGCCUGCCCUGAACAACAACCUGAGGGAUGAAAGGCACCUUACUGCCUUACCAGGCUGUGCUGGGUUGGCCUUGGAUCUUUUGCAGUUAGAAAAAAACAUUGAUUAUGGAAUUUGAGAUUGCUCUAAAGCUGGAUCCCAAGAAAGCAAGAACAAGGAGCUCCAAGAUUCACAUCAGCACAUAGGUAGGCAAUCUACCCAAUUUUUAGUUUCUGGGGCUAGGGGAAAUUUCCUCAUGGGAUCAUGACAUUUUUGGCAGAGAGAGCAUACUAUUGAAACUAAACACUGUUUUCCAAGGAUUUGACUCCAUAACCAUGACUCCAUGGAGACUGAGUGUGUGCUCCUAGGCCAUGCAUCGGUUCCAUAUAUAUCCAAAAAAUUCAACGAUAUUAUGGAAUAAUUGUCUUGAUCUUUGCAUUAAACAAAGGAGAGCUAGAAUUUCCAAACUUUUUAUUUUUUUAUUUUUUUUGGAAUAGAUUCCCAAACAUAAUUGAUCUAAAGUUUGGAAACAAUUACACAAGGUUGCAGUUAAUUAUGUGAAUACUAUGAUGAAGACACUAGUGAUAAACCUUUUCAAUUGAGCAAGAAGAAAAUCACAUUGCUCUCUUUGUUGAUAGUUUGAUACACAUGCUGCCAUGCAGUCUUUCGAAGCUAAUGUAAUAGUUUGGAGGAAGGAGGCCCAACUAAUCAAUGUAACAUGUUAUUCAUUACGAGUACAGAAGUUAGUAAUACUUCCUCUGGUUUUUUUUGGUUUUUUUUUUUUUUUUUUUAAAUCGUUGUGUUUGAAACUUUACAUUAUUCACACAUUGUCUUUUCGUAGUAUUAUAUUGUACUUAGGGGUCGUUUGGUAAAUUUGUUUGGUUAAAAAUGGAGGAAGUAAAUUCCCAUAGGAAUUGUAACUUACCAAAGGGGGGUUGGGUAAGUUAAUUCCCAUGUUUUAAGGGAAGUCAAAAUUCCCAUGAAUUGGCAUUGCCCCCAUUUUUACUUUUUUGUGUCAACUAAACAAGAAGUCCAAAAUGAAAUUCAUGGGAAUUUUGAAUGCCCACAAGAUAUUAAGCCAACCAAACAACACCUUAGUUUUUUUUGGUGCAAAGUAUUAUUUUGUACG